ACAUUGAAACACCAGUUCUCAUUUGAUCACCGAAGUUAAGCAAAACCAAGCCUGGUCAGUCCCUAGAUGGAUGACCACUUGGGAAUACCAGGUGGUG